GUCCGUCCUGAGUUUCAAGAGUCUUAAAUUCUAAUAGGGGAUAAGGCAAAGAGACAGUAACAAAGCAGGCAGAACAAAGUCGGUAUUGUCAGAGGGGUAAAAGUCAAAGCUUUUAAGAUGCUCAAGACAGCAAGAAAAUAUAUCUGCUUUUAGAAGAGACCAGGAAGGACUUCAUGGAGGAGGUGGUGUUCAAGAUGAGUCUUGCAGAUAACUUCUUCUAGGAAAGCACUCUGAAGCCAAGUUGAAACAUUAUACUCUCAGGCAGUAGUAGAGAUCAACCUCUUAAAACCAAAUCCAUGGGCCCAGGAGUAUGGAAAAGAGUUCAAUAAAAUGGCCUUAACUGGUAUAAGAAGUUACAAUUGUUAAAAGGAGAUUCAGCUGUGAUAGCAAAAGAGAAAGAAAAUGAAAAAGUUGUCCUGGCUCAUCUCUGGAAAGACAUGAUAUUUCAUAACCUCAAGGUGUUUGCUUCUGACCUAUAACUUCAAUUAUAGACCAGGUUAUCCAAAAGUUCUCCUUAUUAACAAGAAUUAUCAGUCUGAUACGUGGUAAGUAAGUGGUUUCUAGGUAUUUAAUAUGCCUUUUCCUGAUAACUAAUUUGCCAGAUAGAUUUUCCAAAAAUGGUUGCAACAAUAUCUCCCAUCCCUGAUUCUCUUCUUAAAUAUGACUUUGACAACUUUUCUAUCAAGAGGUAGGGUCUAUAUCCCCUUCCCUUGAAACUAAGAGGGUCUGUGGUUAAGGCAGAACUGACACUCAGUGACUUUUGAGCUAAGUCAUAAAAGAUGAUACAACUUAUGGCUGGUUCUGACUCAAUCUUGGAACCCAGCCAUCAUGUUGUGAAGAAUCUCAGGACAUUUACAGAGGCUUCAUAGGUUUCUGGCAGACAGCUCCAGCUUACAACAGCAUCAACCAACAGACUUGUGAGUGAAGAUGGCUCCUGAAGGUAUCAGCCCCCCGCUGUCCAGUCACCUCCCAGCUUUUGAGUCUUUCCAGCCGAGACCCCAGACACCAAGGCACAGAGACAAACGUCUGCAUUGUAACCUGUCCAAAAUUCUGACCCACAGAGUUCUUGGCAUAAUAUAAUGAUUGUUUUAUGUCACUAAAGUUUGGAGUGGCUUGUCACAUUGCAAUAAAAAAUUGCAACAACGAAGGAGGUUGAUUAUCUUUUCAUGCUUAUUGAUCAUUUGCAUUUCUUCUGUGUACUGUCUAUUCACAAAUUUUGCCUGUUUGACUCUUGGGUUAUUUGUCUUGCUCAUAUUUUCUGCAUAUUAAUCCUACUUUUGUUACCUAUAUUGCAAAUGUAUUCAACCAGUUGCUUGCUAGGUAAUAGAGAAAUUUGAGUUUUAUGUAUCCGUUCAUUGUUUUCAUUUUUUAGUCUUGGGGUUUUGUAUCUUUUUUUUUUUUUUUUUUUUUUUUUUUGAGACGACGGAGUCUCUCUCUGUCACCCAGGCUGGAGUGCAGUGGCGUGAUCUCCGCUCACUGCAAGCUCUGCCUCCCGGGUUCAUGCUGUUUUCCUGCCUCAGCCUCCCAAAUAGCUGGGACCACAGGCGCCCGCCACCAUGCCCAGCUAAUUUUUUUUUUUUUUGUAUUUUUUAGUAGAGACGGGGUUUCACUGUGUUAGCCAGGAUGGUCUCGAUCUCCUGACCUCGUGAUCCGCCAGCCUCGGCCUCCCGAAGUGCUGGGAUUACAGGCGUGAGCCACUGUGCCCGGCCGGUUUUGUGUCUUUUUUAGAAAAAGGCUUUCCCAUUUGAAGAAUAUAAAAAUAUCCUAUACUUUCUUCUAGCACUUUUAUACCUUUUCUUAUUCAUCAUAAGAUCAGUCUCUGACUCUAUCUUGAAUUUAUUAUUUUACAUGGUAUGGGACAGUGAAAAUCUAACUCUUUUUAGAUGGAUAGUCAGUUGUCUCUGUACCAUUUAUUUAAAUCAUCCAUUCUUUUUCCAUUGAUUUGAAAUGCCUCCUUUAUGAACUAAAUUCUUAAAUAAAUAUAUGUCUAUUUCUAGACUGUCUAUUCUGAACCAUUAAACUGUUUGAUCAUUACUACAAAAGUGCCAUUUUAUUUUAAUUUAUAUAGCUUUUUGAUAUGUUCUGAUAUCCAGUAGAACGCAUAGUAUAGUCUAAUUUUUCUUCCCCCAGAAAUAUCUUUGCAGAUUUUAAGAAUUUCGUCUUUCAGAUAAAUUUCAGAAUAAACUCGCCAAGUGCCUUGCUUGGCACUUAAGUCACAGCCUUGCUUUGACUUAAUAAAUUAAUGUGUAGCAAACUGACAUAUUUAUUAUGUCUUCUUGUAUAUUAACAUGGUAUAUUUCCCCAU
rnacentral:lncRNA from 1 species